rnacentral:lncRNA from 1 species
GACCGUUUAAAAAUAUAAAUAUAUUAAGAGUGUAAGUUUUAAAAAAUUAGAUAAACAUUGCUCUAGUUUUUUGUGAAACAUAAAACUGUAUCUCUGUUUUUCUGUGCCUUCUUAUUAAAAUACAGAUGGCACAGCUUUCAUAUAGCUUUAACAACUUGAUUAUAAAUUGCUUUCAAAAGUAACUUAUUUGGAUUUUCCAUAUCCUUUAAUGAAUUGCAAAUAUAUUAACAGAAAAGACUUUCCCCCUCAACACUGUACAAUUUCUGAAAUAAGUCAGUUAAAGCAAAAAGAAGACACAAAAUUACAUUGUUUCAAUGCAAACAGAACACACACUUCAUACCCACACUUGCAUUUUCCCAGGUUUUCACAAAGAAAAUGGGUCACCAUAUUUCUCAGUGAAGACUCAUACUAUACUCUGGCUAAUCAGAGACUUCCAAACUUUUUUCUUCAAAAAGAGCAUUUUUAAUAGACUAAAUACUGGUUAUCACUGAGUUUUUGUUUAAGGUACAACAGCAGCAUGGUUCAAAUGUUACUUGUAGUUCUCGGAAAAAUUAAAAAUUUUAAGUGAUGAAUACAGAAAAUGUAGGGACCACCUUUCAUUCUUUUGAGUACCACUGUUCUCUUGAAAAAAUAUUCUAACCUUCUAAAAUCCCAGAGUUAAGAACCAUUUCCAAGGGGAAAAACAAAUCCAAGGCCACAACAUAACUUCUGAACAAGUGUGUGCGCGUAUAUAUAUAUGUAUAUAGAUGUAUUAAGUUGGUAGAAAAGGAUGUCAAACUACUUAAUUUAAUUUCUGUAAAAUAAACUUCUGAAAUUUGAAGCAAACAUUUUGCUUGAUCAAAAUGUGUUCUUCUUCGGGUUGUUUGAUCCCCAUUCCAUGCAAAAAACAAAACCAAACAAAAAAAGAAACUGCAAAAGCCAGAAAGUGUUACUACGUGGGAAAUAAGGCUUCAAAUACCUAAAUGACUUUGAAAGUAGGUAUGAGGAAAAAUAAAAUAGGCCAAGCUUGGGCGGAAACUGUCCCCCAACCAGCCAUUGCCAUGGCAUGUCUUACAAAACGAUCCUUUUAUCCUUGGUCUCAAAAAAUCAGUACCAGAAAGACUCUCACCUCUGGCACAUAAAUUCCUGCUACAAAAAGAUAAUUAUACUUCAGCAAGUUAUGUUCUAAGCUUAGCUUUCUCCAGGCUUUAUAACGCAGAACUCAGGUUGAAGCUUUCUAUAAAACUCUAAAUGACACUGUUAUACAGCACCUUGUGCUUUGCCAAUUAAAAAAAUAAAAGAAUCUAAAAUUAAAUAUUACAGAACUAAUGGAUAAUACAAUAGCAUACGUGUUAGAAUCCAAGUGCUAGCCUCUGGGAAUUUUUCAUUAUAUUUAUUUUCUCCCAACUGUUCCUUUUUUUUAAAAAAGUAUUGUUUUAGACAGUACAUAUACAUAAAUUUAGGUAGGGAAAUCUGUUAAAUAUCUCUCUGGCACCUGAUACCUAAAGACCCUGACUUGAAUUAAUUUAUAAAUUGUACCUAAUCCAUGUUCAAAUGAGAUUAACAGUAAAUUAUAGAAAAUUACUGAGUCUACAGACUAAAAUUUUUUUCACAUCUUUUGUAAUCCACCUUAUUUUCACAGCUUGACUAACAAAUACAGGUAAGUUUGUCCUCCAUCAAAUAAUCCAGAAUAAUAACUGUAGGCCUGUCAUUCAUAAGAAACUAUAAUUUGUUAUAUUCUGACACUGGCACUUAAUAAAAUGUUAACAACUAAAAUUUCUCUAAAAAUUUCAAUACAUUACAGUAAAGGAGAUAAACAAUUUAAGACUGUUUAAAUCUGUUACUGUGGAAUUCCAAUAAUUAUCAUUUUAUAUGCAUAAUUGAAUUCUUAAAAUUGUGGCCAUUUUCCAAAGACACCAAUCUAUAUUAUGACAAACUCAGAAGAGAACCUAUCUCCUUCAUAAGAAUGUUUUUUCCCCCAAGCUAAAAAUUUCCAACAUCCUAAACCCAAUUACUCUUAGUAAAUGUUUUGGUGACUCACACUACUGAAAAAAUCUGAAGCAGAGAGUCAAAAAGAAUGGAAAGGAUCUCAACCAAAGGUAACCACACAUUCUUACACUCUGCUUAAGCAAACACUUAGAAAAGUCAAAGGGAUGUUUUGAACAAAUAUAGAUUCAAGGUUAUGGUACAAUUCUGAUUAUAUUAAGGCUUUCACUAUCAUGAUCUCUUAAAAGUCUCUCCACUUUAGUGUUCUCCUUCUGAUUCAUAUGGUGAACUUAAGGGGUUAUUAAGGGCCUUGUUUUGGCUUCUCAGUGGGGAACCACUCUAUCAUCUCUGAAUGUUAAAGGUGAUCCCACAGAGCUCAAAGAGAAGAGGCAAUAUGGUAAGAAACAAUUUUAAAGUUUGCAAUACCAAGACAACAAUGAUCAACACUUUGAAGCAAGAUGAAUAAAUUAAAAUUCUUGGUUAGACAUUAAAGCAUUCUUGCCAAGAAUAAGAGUACACUGUAUGGAGGGAUAUUUGAUUCCUACAUACGAGUCCCAAUAUGCCCAUUACAUUUGUUUAUGGGAGAUACUGCAAGUUUAAGGUAAUUUACAUUCCUUGGCAAUCAAGUCACUGUUAUAGGCAACGUCUUUUAUUGUUCCAUCUGGCACUUGCAAACACCAUUCUUGAAGAACCUAGAAAUGAAGGUCAGUUACUCUGUUUAUCAGGAACAGAACCAAAUAAAAACAAAUUUUUGAAAAAGCAACCAAGAAACUCUGGUUCAUCACUAUUUUCCAUAUCUAAUGGUUCCUUCAAGAUAAAGCAUAACUCUUCCUUUCAUGAUACUUUCCAACAAAGGGAGAUUAAAGAAAAACAGAAAAGAAAGUUCCCCACCCUACCCCCCAUAAAUU